UAGGGAAUCUUCGGCAAUGGGGGGAACCCUGACCGAGCAACGCCGCGUGAGUGAAGAAGGUUUUCGGAUCGUAAAGCUCUGUUGUUAAGGAAGAACGAGUGUGAGAAUGGAAAGUUCAUGCUGUGACGGUACUUAACCAGAAAGGGACGGCUAACUACGUGCCAGCAGCCGCGGUAAUACGUAGGUCCCGAGCGUUGUCCGGAUUUAUUGGGCGUAAAGCGAGCGCAGGCGGUUAGAAAAGUCUGAAGUUAAAGGCAGUGGCUCAACCAUUGUAGGCUUUGGAAACUGGUUAACUUGAGUGCAGAAGGGGAGAGUGGAAUUCCAUGUGUAGCGGUGAAAUGCGUAGAUAUAUGGAGGAACACCGGUGGCGAAAGCGGCUCUCUGGUCUGUAACUGACGCUGAGGCUCGAAAGCGUGGGGAGCGAACAGG
rnacentral:rRNA from 1 species